UACAGAGGGUGCAAGCGUUAAUCGGAAUUACUGGGCGUAAAGCGUGCGUAGACGGUCAUGUAAGUCGGGUGUGAAAGCCCCGGGCUCAACCUGGGAAUUGCAUUCGAGACUGCAUGGCUAGGGUGCGGAAGAGGGAAGCGGAAUUCCCGGUGUAGCGGUGAAAUGCGUAGAUAUCGGAAGGAACACCAGUGGCGAAAGCGGCUUCCUGGUCCAGCACCGACGUUCAGGCACGAAAGCGUGGGGAGCAAACAGG
rnacentral:rRNA from 1 species